AUUGAACGCUGGCGGCAUGCUUUACACAUGCAAGUCGAACGGUAACAGGUUAAGCUGACGAGUGGCGAACGGGUGAGUAAUGCAUCGGAACGUGCCCGAUCGUGGGGGAUAACGUAGCGAAAGUUACGCUAAUACCGCAUACGAUCUGAGGAUGAAAGCGGGGGACCGUAAGGCCUCGCGCGAUCGGAGCGGCCGAUGUCAGAUUAGGUAGUUGGUGGGGUAAAGGCCCACCAAGCCGACGAUCUGUAGCUGGUCUGAGAGGACGACCAGCCACACUGGGACUGGGACACGGCCCAGACUCCUACGGGAGGCAGCAGUGGGGAAUUUUGGACAAUGGGCGCAAGCCUGAUCCAGCAAUGCCGCGUGCAGGAAGAAGGCCUUCGGGUUGUAAACUGCUUUUGUACGGAGCGAAAAGGCUCUCUCUAAUACAGGGGGCUCAUGACGGUACCGUAAGAAUAAGCACCGGCUAACUACGUGCCAGCAGCCGCCGUAAUAC
rnacentral:rRNA from 1 species